rnacentral:SRP_RNA from 1 species
GCUGGGCGUGGUGGCGCGUGCCUGUAGUCCCAGCUACUCGGGAGGCUGAGGUGGGAGGUUCGCUUGAACCCAGUUCUGGGCUGUAGUGCACUAUGCCGAUCGGGUGUCUGCACUGAGUUCGGCAUCAAUAUGGUGACCUCCCUGGAGCGGGGGACCACCAGGUUGCCUAAGGAGGGGUGAAUUGAUCCAGAUUGGAAACGGAGGAGGUCAAAACUCCCAUGCUGAUCAGUAGUGGGAUCGCACCUGUAAAUAACCACUGCACUCCAGCCUGGGCAACACAGUGAGACCCUGUCUCU